AUUGAACGCUGGCGGCAGGCCUAACACAUGCAAGUCGGACGGUAGCACAGAGGAGCUUGCUCCUCGGGUGACGAGUGGCGGACGGGUGAGUAAUGUCUGGGGAUCUGCCCGAUAGAGGGGGAUAACCACUGGAAACGGUGGCUAAUACCGCAUAACGUCGCAAGACCAAAGAGGGGGACCUUCGGGCCUCUCACUAUCGGAUGAACCCAGAUGGGAUUAGCUAGUCAGCGGGGUAACGGCCCACCUAGGCGACGAUCCCUAGCUGGGCUGAGAGGAUGACCAGCCACACUGGAACUGAGACACGGUCCAGACUCCUACGGGAGGCAGCAGUGGGGAAUAUUGCACAAUGGGCGCAAGCCUGAUGCAGCCAAGCCGCGUGUAUGAAGAAGGCCUUCGGGUUGUAAAGUACUUUCAGCGGGGAGGAAGGCGAUGUGGUUAAUAACCGCGUCGAUUGACGUUACCCGCAGAAGAAGCACCGGCUAACUCCGUGCCAGCCGCCGCGGUAA
rnacentral:rRNA from 1 species